rnacentral:rRNA from 1 species
CUCACCUAUCAUAGAUUUAAUAAUAGUUCAAAAUAGAGGAGUGAUAAGUAUAAUUCUCGGUUAUGAGUCUCCUUUACCUCAUCGUGUACGCAAAGUCUUUUAUCCUGGACUUAAAGUUAAUCUUUUAAGUGACGUGGCACGUAGUAUUACGAAAAAAUUUACGUUUUUAACAGUGUUAAUAAAUGUACUGGCAGAUUUAGUGCCAGCAGCAGCGGUUAUACUAAGAGUACUGGACUCUUUUAUUAUAUUAUUAGAAUAACCUAAAUUGGGUUAAUACAUUGGUGAAAUAAAAUUUAAGAUUUUAUGUGUUUAAGGUUUUAAGGAAAAUACUUAUUAAGACUAGGAUUAGAUACCCUAUUAUUGGUACAGAACGAGUAAAUACAGAGAAAGCUAAUGAAUUUGGCGGCUUUUGAAAUUUUAGGGGAAUUUGUGUAUUGAUCGAUGGUACUCGUUUUAUCUUACUUACUUUUAUUUUGUAUAUCUUCGUAUAGGCUAUUCUUACUGGAAUAAUAGCCGGUCUAGUUUGUAAAAAUACAGAUCAAGGUGCAGAAAUAAGUAAGCUUAUAUUAAUUACAAUAAUGAUUUGUUAAACGGAUGCGGUUUUGAAUGAGGCCCUUAAGGUGAAUUUAAUGGUAGUUAAGUAUAACUCGAAGUGUUUGAUGAAGUGUACAAAUUGCCCGUCACUCUCUAUGAGAUAAGUCGAAACAAAGUAGAUGUACCGGAAGAUGCAUCUAA